UUUAAUGCAGUUUCUAAACAGGGUUUUUAAAGAAAAUCAGGCAUUUAAUUAAAUGGAAACAAAAUUAAAAUUGAAUAACCGAUCCUGAAUUCAGGCCUUUUGCGACCGAUCACAUGGGGUUUCUUACAACACGUGUCAGCAUAAAAUAUUUUUGAUUUUCUUUUCUCUUUCUUUUCUUCUCUUUCUCUCAUCUUCUCUCGCGUUCUCCAGACGACGAAACCAAUCGUCUCCUCCAUUCAAUCAUCACUCCAGAAAUCGUCUUUCCCUCUGUCGUCUUCUCCUCUCCGUCGUGAAGGGCACCUCUCCUCCGUUCAAUCGGCGUCUUCUCCGUCUUUCCCUUCUGUCGUCUUCUCCUCUCCGUCGCGAAGGGAAGCGUCUCUCUCUCUUCUCUCGUCUUCUCCGUCGCUAAGGGUAGCGUCUCCUCCCUUCAAUCGCCUUUCCCAAUUGCUGCGACCCCAUCUUCUCUCUCUUCUGACCGUGCUUAACCGUAUGAAGAUUGUGAAGAACAUCCAGAAGUUGGUGUCUGCUUCUAAACUUAGUCCUGUAAAAGCCCUGAAGUUUGUUUCGUGACUCAAAGCAUGACAUCUGCCUUCAUGCUUUGCGCAUUGUGGUUGAGGGUGCUGUCGCACAGGCUAAGACAUCAACUUCUUCGAGAAGCAACCACUACCUGAGACAAGUAGUGUUUCUGUUUUAUAUUGGUUCUGUUUCGAUGUUGUUUCUUGUUGUUCCCAUUGUUAUUUUUGCUCUGUAUCAGGCGACUGAGUGUAAUUCUCAUUGUUAUAAUCUUUUUUUUAUAAACCCUUUA